rnacentral:tRNA from 1 species
CAGGCUUGUAGCUCAGGUGGUUAGAGCGCACCCCUGAUAAGGGUGAGGUCGGUGGAUCAAGUCCAC